AAAUUGAAGAGUUUGAUCAUGGCUCAGAUUGAACGCUGGCGGCAGGCCUAACACAUGCAAGUCGAGCGGUAGCACAGAGAGCUUGCUCUCGGGUGACGAGCGGCGGACGGGUGAGUAAUGUCUGGGAAACUGCCUGAUGGAGGGGGAUAACUACUGGAAACGGUAGCUAAUACCGCAUAACGUCGCAAGACCAAAGUGGGGGACCUUCGGGCCUCAUGCCAUCAGAUGUGCCCAGAUGGGAUUAGCUAGUAGGUGGGGUAACGGCUCACCUAGGCGACGAUCCCUAGCUGGUCUGAGAGGAUGACCAGCCACACUGGAACUGAGACACGGUCCAGACUCCUACGGGAGGCAGCAGUGGGGAAUAUUGCACAAUGGGCGCAAGCCUGAUGCAGCCAUGCCGCGUGUGUGAAGAAGGCCUUCGGGUUGUAAAGCACUUUCAGCGGGGAGGAAGGCGAUAAGGUUAAUAACCUUGUCGAUUGACGUUACCCGCAGAAGAAGCACCGGCUAACUCCGUGCCAGCAGCCGCGGUAAUACGGAGGGUGCAAGCGUUAAUCGGAAUUACUGGGCGUAAAGCGCACGCAGGCGGUCUGUCAAGUCGGAUGUGAAAUCCCCGGGCUCAACCUGGGAACUGCAUUCGAAACUGGCAGGCUAGAGUCUUGUAGAGGGGGGUAGAAUUCCAGGUGUAGCGGUGAAAUGCGUAGAGAUCUGGAGGAAUACCGGUGGCGAAGGCGGCCCCUGGACAAAGACUGACGCUCAGGUGCGAAAGCGUGGGGAGCAAACAGGAUUAGAUACCCUGGUAGUCCACGCCGUAAACGAUGUCGAUUUGGAGGUUGUGCCCUUGAGGCGUGGCUUCCGGAGCUAACGCGUUAAAUCGACCGCCUGGGGAGUACGGCCGCAAGGUUAAAACUCAAAUGAAUUGACGGGGGCCCGCACAAGCGGUGGAGCAUGUGGUUUAAUUCGAUGCAACGCGAAGAACCUUACCUGGUCUUGACAUCCACAGAACUUUCCAGAGAUGGAUUGGUGCCUUCGGGAACUGUGAGACAGGUGCUGCAUGGCUGUCGUCAGCUCGUGUUGUGAAAUGUUGGGUUAAGUCCCGCAACGAGCGCAACCCUUAUCCUUUGUUGCCAGCGGUCCGGCCGGGAACUCAAAGGAGACUGCCAGUGAUAAACUGGAGGAAGGUGGGGAUGACGUCAAGUCAUCAUGGCCCUUACGACCAGGGCUACACACGUGCUACAAUGGCAUAUACAAAGAGAAGCGACCUCGCGAGAGCAAGCGGACCUCAUAAAGUAUGUCGUAGUCCGGAUUGGAGUCUGCAACUCGACUCCAUGAAGUCGGAAUCGCUAGUAAUCGUAGAUCAGAAUGCUACGGUGAAUACGUUCCCGGGCCUUGUACACACCGCCCGUCACACCAUGGGAGUGGGUUGCAAAAGAAGUAGGUAGCUUAACCUUCGGGAGGGCGCUUACCACUUUGUGAUUCAUGACUGGGGUGAAGUCGUAACAAGGUAACCGUAGGGGAACCUGCGGUUGGAUCACCUCCUUACCUUAAAGAA
rnacentral:rRNA from 1 species